CCUACGGGUGGCAGCAGUGAGGAAUAUUGGUCAAUGGGCGCGAGCCUGAACCAGCCAAGUAGCGUGAAGGAUGACUGCCCUACGGGUUGUAAACUUCUUUUAUAAAGGAAUAAAGUGAGGCACGUGUGCCUUUUUGUAUGUACUUUAUGAAUAAGGAUCGGCUAACUCCGUGCCAGCAGCCGCGGUAAUACGGAGGAUCCGAGCGUUAUCCGGAGUGACUGGGUGUAAAGAGUUGCGUAGGUGGCAUAAUCAGUAGCUAGUGAAAUCUGGUGGCUCAACCAUUCAGACUAUUAUCUAAACUGUUAAACGCGAGAGCGUUAGGGGUAAGUGGAAUUUCUAGUGUAGGGGUGAAAUGCGGAGAUAUUAGAAGGAACACCAAUGGCGUAGGCAGGUUACUGGGACGGUUCUGACACUAAGGCACGAAAGCGUAGGGAGCAAACGGGAUUAGAUACCCGAGUAGUC
rnacentral:rRNA from 1 species